UUAUAUGUUGGUGUAAAGCACAUAAAGUUUUGAUCUUUAAAGUUUUAGUGAAAGUCUAUUACAUGUAA
rnacentral:tRNA from 1 species